AUUGAACGCUGGCGGCAGGCCUAACACACGCAAGUCGAGCGGCAGCGGGAAAGUAGCUUGCUACUUUUGCCGGCGAGCGGCGGACGGGUGAGUAAUGCCUGGGAAAUUGCCCAGUCGAGGGGGAUAACAGUUGGAAACGACUGCUAAUACCGCAUACGCCCUACGGGGGAAAGCAGGGGACCUUCGGGCCUUGCGCGAUUGGAUAUGCCCAGGUGGGAUUAGCUAGUUGGUGAGGUAAUGGCUCACCAAGGCGACGAUCCCUAGCUGGUCUGAGAGGAUGAUCAGACACACUGGAACUGAGACACGGUCCAGACUCCUACGGGAGGCAGCAGUGGGGAAUAUUGCACAAUGGGGGAAACCCUGAUGCAGCCAUGCCGCGUGUGUGAAGAAGGCCUUCGGGUUGUAAAGCACUUUCAGCGAGGAGGAAAGGUUGAUGCCUAAUACGUAUCAACUGUGACGUUACUCGCAGAAGAAGCACCGGCUAACUCCGUGCCAGCAGCCGCAGUAAAAC
rnacentral:rRNA from 1 species